AUGUCUCAUGAUCUAGUUUAAUCAUUCAUCACAAUGAAUGAUCAAACUAUUUUUAUUUAACUUGUCGCUUUGUCAAUCCAUCUGUCCCAUUGUUGUGUGUACAAAAUAUCUCCAGAAUACCUUGAGAGACUUAAAAGUUAGUAAAAAUUGUCACUUAGAAUUCAGGAUUUACUGAUUAGAUUUAGGUGGUUGAAGGUCAAUGUCAGGAACCUUUUGUUCUUGUGAAGGUGAUUAUCAGUAACACCCAUAGUGACUUGCAUUACAUCUAGUACAGACAUUCACUUAGACUCAUGGGAUUAUUGAUUAUAUUUGGGUGGUCUAAGAUCAAAGGUCAAGUUAGGCUUCACAAAACAUGUUUUGGUGUCUUGAACAUGAUAUCUCAGGUCAGCCUUCAAGAAGUUCACAAAGAUUAACUGAUUAGAGUGACCUUUGGAGUCUGGAAAACAUGUGUAGACUAAAACUGGCUCUAGUUCUAUUUAGCUUCUCCUUUCUUAAGCUUAAUUCAAUUUAUUCACUUGAAGAAGAUGAAGUUGCUUUGUUCUUGAUAAAUAGAAAUGAUGUCAAAGACUGGGUACCUGAUAAUAUUAGAGCUGCCUUCAUAGCGGUGUGGCCUAGGGGUAGAGUGGUCGCCCUCCAACAAGAAGGUUGGCGUUUUAAUCCUCACUCUUCCCCAUGCAUGCCGAAGUGUCCUUUGGCAAGAUACUGAACCCCUAAAAAAAAAAGGCCCCUCAUAGAAGUUGAAUGCACUAAUUGUAAGUCGCUUUGGAUAAAAGCGUCUGCCAAAUGACAAGUAAUGUAAUGUAAUGUAAUGUAAUAGCCUUGAGGUGUUUGCUUAAGCUAAUACAUCUGUCAUCAUUACAGUCAGUUCACAAGACUGAGCUGAUGAUAUGAAUCAAAUCAACUGAGCUUAAUGGUCCAGUGUGUAAGAUUUAGGUGAAAGGGAUCUAUUGGCAGAAAUUUGUUUCAUCUAAAUUGUACAAAUUGUUGUUUUCUUUACCCUAGAAUGGACCCUUUAUAUUUAAAUACUUUACAUUUAUAUUGGAUUUGGGGAUGCUAUGUUAGUCCGGUGAAAAUGUUUUACAAGAAAGGUCAUGGGCUGAAAGUGAAAACUGUAUACAACAACUCAUAUUCAGAAAAUUAAAUUCAUACUAAAUUCAUUAAAUAUUGGAAGAUAAUCAUUAAAUAAGAUAUAAAUAAAUAACAAACUACAAUUCCAUAAGAAAAGAUUCAGCAGCACUGUCACUGGUGGAGACAGGUUCAGUGAAGCAAAGAUAAGUUACCCCUGAGAAAUAAUAAGUUAUAGAGAAAAAUAAUUCUAAAAAGAUCAACAAACACGCUCAUAUUCUUCGUGUUUGUUCUGUGUAAAACACUGUGCUGCAUGUUUUCAUGGCACUGAACAUCAUAUUGCUCAGCUGCAGCUACAUCUCUCUGCUGUAUCAAGCUGCUCAACUCUAACCUGCUUGGUGCAGCUUUAAACUUUGGGAAAUGUUUCUGCUUAAAUUAACCUAGUUGUUUCAAGGGAACCUCAUUAUGGACAUUUUUGUAACACAAAGUGAAGCCCAGUGAACCUGAGGUGAGGAUCUUCUAUCAGGUGCACGUGCUUGCUCGUGGCAGUUAAGGCCUCUGGAGUUUUCUUCCCACCAAGGGGAAGCUGACAUGUUGAUUGGGGCUGCAAACCAUCCGUCAAAUUCCACUCCUGGAAAUACCUGAGAUUGUAUCACAGGAGAGAAAGUAUUCUACUCUAUGACAAGAAGUUGGGUUUUGUUCUGUUUUUCCAUGCAGAGCUACAAAUUAUGAAAACAACAAAACAAAUGCUUAUAGUAGCUUUAUGCUGAAAUAAUCCUGGGAUGGACAGCAUGGAUUCUAGGAGUGCAACCUUCUGAGUUCAUGGACAGAAUGAAAGUGUGUGAAAGUGAACUGGAACUGAAAGAUGUCUGACAUAACCAAGUGUGCUGAACAACAGAGUCACUUUAAAACUUUCUAUUUCUGGCCAGGAGGCAUUGUGGAAACAUGCCUGUGCAGCCCCUUCGAUAACAUGCAGAGGCAGGACACUUGCUGCCUUUGAACCAGGAUGCCACAAAUCUUGUAACCAGGAGGGUUAAAAAUGCACUGUGCAACGAGUCUUUGCCUGUGGGGUCUCCCAAACACAACCAGAGAAGAACCCUUUCACUUACCAACAUAUAUUAUUAACCAUAAAUUCAAAACUAUCAACGUAAGUUUAAUUAAACUAAACAUACAUUUCCAGAUUGAAGGCUCCGAUCAGCCCUCCUUUUCUCCCUCUGUGGCAGCUUUCUCUGCUGCCCUUUAAAGCUCUCUUACUCCACUGCCACAUGCACAUUUCUGAAUUUUCCCCUUUUACUCUGCUGUCACCUCCUGGCAGCACCUCUUGAUCAAAACUAUAAAAAUUAUAAAUGGAGUGUCGCUUGCGAGCUAGUUCAUGGAGUCAAUUCGAGCUGCGUUGCUCCAAUCAUGUGACAUACCUCACUCCACGGGUGGGGGCUCCUGCCAAAUUUUUCAGGCGGGGCAAUUGUUGCAAUGAUGUCUAAGGUUACCUGUUUUAUGGGUAAAUAUACUCAAGUCAGCAGACAUUGUCUCCUUGCAUUACAUACAUUUGCAUAAAUUUUGUUUUUCCUGGUCGCCUCACAUAGCACUACCCAGUGUUGUGCCAGUUAACACUUAAAAGGAACUAGUUCAAAGUUCAGUCCAUGCAGAUGAAGACGAACUCGUUCGCGUUCAUAGAUCUUUUUGACAAUUUUUGACAUUAUUUUGAUGACAAACUUAUGAACAUGUGUUUAGUUUUUAAUCAAUGGUGUCGGAUCAUGAAUUCCUGUCGCUCUGAUCACUCUAACACUGAGUCCUGCUGUGUCUCAGGGUCCCCAUGGGUUCGAGGCUCCUGUCUCCUGUAGCAGCAAUUCCUGAGUCCCAUAAGAAUCAAUUCUAGCAGAUAUCUCUACAGUUAUCUAAUGGUAAAGGGCAACGCCGGCAGCACCUCAAAGCAAGGAAUGUUGUGGAUAAAUAAAGGAAGGCUUAACAAUGA